AGCAGCCGCGGUAAUUCCAGCUCCAAUAGCGUAUAUUAAAGUUGUUGCAGUUAAAAAAGCUCGUAGUUGAAUUUCGGGGUCAGUAGGUUGGUCAUGCCUUCGGUAUGUACUGGUCUCACUGAUUCCUCCUUCUUGAAGAUCCGUAAUGUCAUUAAUUUGGUGUUGCGGGGAAUCAGGACUGUUACUUUAGAAAAAAUUAGAGUGUUUAAAGCAGGCUUACGCUUGAAUACAUUAGCAUGGAAUAAUGAAAUAGGACGUUUGAUCCUAUUUUGUUGGUUUCUAGGAUUGACGUAAUGAUUAAUAGGGAUAGUUGGGGGCAUUAGUAUUCAAUUGUCAGAGGUGAAAUUCUUGGAUUUAUUGAAGACUAACUACUGCGAAAGCAUUUGCCAAGGAUGUUUUCAUUAAUCAAGAACGAAAGUUAGGGGAUCGAAGACGAUCAGAUACCGUCGUAGUCUUAACCAUAAACUAUGCCGACUAGGGAUCGGAUGAUGUUAAUUUUUAAAUGACUCAUUCGGCGCCU
rnacentral:rRNA from 1 species